rnacentral:rRNA from 1 species
UACGUAGGGUGCAAGCGUUAAUCGGAAUUACUGGGCGUAAAGCGUGCGCAGGCGGUUUUGUAAGCCAGGUGUGAAAUCCCCGGGCUCAACCUGGGAAUGGCAUUUGGGGACUGCAAGGCUGGAGUGCGGCAGAGGAGACUGGAAUUCCUGGUGUAGCAGUGAAAUGCGUAGAUAUCAGGAGGAACACCGAUGGCGAAGGCAGGUCUCUGGGACGUUACUGACGCUGGAGACGCGAAAGCGUGGGGAGCGAACAGG